GCGCCUGUGGUGGAAUUGGUAGACACCCCAGUUUUAGGUACUGGUAUCGAAAGAUGUGAGAGUUCGAGUCUCUCCGGGCGCACCA
rnacentral:tRNA from 1 species